rnacentral:rRNA from 1 species
UACAGGGGGUGCAAACGUUGCUCGGAAUCAUUGGGCGUAAAGCGCACGUAGGCGGUCUGUUAUGUCGGAUGUGAAAGCCCUUGGCUUAACUGAGGAAGUGCAUCCGAAACUGGCAGGCUAGAGUACUAAAGAGGGUCGCGGAAUUCCCGGUGUUGAGGUGAAAUUCGUAGAUAUCGGGAGGAACACCGGUGGCGAAGGCGGCGACCUGGGUAGAUACUGACGCUGAGGUGCGAAAGCGUGGGGAGCAAACAGG